rnacentral:rRNA from 1 species
UAGGGAAUCUUCGGCAAUGGACGGAAGUCUGACCGAGCAACGCCGCGUGAGUGAAGAAGGUUUUCGGAUCGUAAAGCUCUGUUGUUAGAGAAGAACGUUGGUAGGAGUGGAAAAUCUACCAAGUGACGGUAACUAACCAGAAAGGGACGGCUAACUACGUGCCAGCAGCCGCGGUAAUACGUAGGUCCCGAGCGUUGUCCGGAUUUAUUGGGCGUAAAGCGAGCGCAGGCGGUUCUUUAAGUCUGAAGUUAAAGGCAGUGGCUUAACCAUUGUACGCUUUGAAAACUGGAGGACUGGAGUGCAGAAGGGGGGAGUGGAAUUCCAUGUGUAGCGGUGAAAUGCGUAGAUAUAUGGAGGAACACCGGUGGCGAAAGCGGCUCUCUGGUCUGUAACUGACGCUGAGGCUCGAAAGCGUGGGGAGCAAACAGG